rnacentral:rRNA from 1 species
GACGUAACGCUGGCGGCGUGCCUAAUACAUGCAAGUAGAACGCUGGACUACUUUAGCUUGCUAGAGUAGAAGGAGUUGCGAACGGGUGAGUAACGCGUAGGUAACCUGCCUACUAGCGGGGGAUAACUAUUGGAAACGAUAGCUAAUACCGCAUAACAGUGUUUAACACAUGUUAGAUGCUUGAAAGAUGCAAUUGCAUCACUAGUAGAUGGACCUGCGUUGUAUUAGCUAGUUGGUGGGGUAACGGCCCACCAAGGCGACGAUACAUAGCCGACCUGAGAGGGUGAUCGGCCACACUGGGACUGAGACACGGCCCAG